CACUUCACCCUGCCAUCCAGUUGCUUUCCCCAAACGCAAUUACAUUACCAGUUUCUUAUGUAUUUUUCUAGAGACACUCUAUUGCCAACAAGAAUAUCGGUAAUGUAUUUUAAAUUUUUAACAGAAAUUGUAACAUAUAACCUUUCUGAAUCCCCCCCGUGUGUGUGUGUGUGUGUGUGUGUGUGUGUGUGUAUCAACACACAGUACUCAUAGAGCUGUCAGUUUUUACUGACUACAUGGUAUUCCACCUUAUAAACAUACUAAUUUUUUUUGUCUAUCUCAGUUCAUAGUGUAUGGGCCAAGGGAAAAGUUCCCCUCUACUUUCUGAAGUUUCACCGAAAAACCAAUUCACAAAAGGCAGAUUGACAGGAGAAAUGGCAUACAAAUUUAUCAGCAUACAUGGGGGAGAAUCACAGAGUGAUUGCCCAACUUCCCAAUGAGAUAUCUACUCUAUCCAGCAUCCUUCCAUCUUCCGUUGAGGUUGAUCUGCAAGAGCCAAGUCAAGUGGGCUCUGAUGUCCUCUAGCUUGAGGCUUGGUUGGAGACCAGAGGGAGAAAGGAGAGUAAGGUCAGAGUAUUUAUUUCCUUGUCUCCUUCUGCAAAAAGUCACUGUUCUUUUAAAGGCAAAUUACUGUGUUUGGCUUUUCUCUCCUGAUGGGUUAUAGCAACUCUCCCCUGGCAUGUUUCUUUAAUUUUCUCUGCCUCUGUACUUUUGUAUAUAGCUCCCUAAAAAAAUCUCCUGGAAUUUCCCUAUUUUGCAUGCAUGGUCUGUUAUAAGUUGAGAUCCUGAUGGAUAAAUUUUAUUGACUACAUUCUUUUUUAUUUUUUUUCUCCUGACCAAAACAGUGAGAGAUGGAUAUGAUAACCUCAUUUUACUGAGGAAACUGAAGCUUUGGAGCUUGCCACAGGUCAGUCACCCAGCUGAUGAAUGGGAAUUCAAGCUCUUUAUCGCAUUAAAAAGCACUUGCUCAUUCCAAAAACUUAUUCUUUCAGUUUAAAUUAUUUGGCCAGGUAUUGUUCACUUUAGUAUACCUUAUAGUUCUAUUUUCUUUACUUUGUACCUAAAAAAGCUUCUGAUCCAGUGUGUCCCAUGCAGCACUAAAAACUUAGUUUUAACUUGGAGCCGUUAUGUCUCGGUUUCCUUAUCUGUAGAGUGAAAUCAUGUGUUCUCUUCCUCCUGGG